AACGAACGCUGGCGGCAGGCCUAACACAUGCAAGUCGAGCGGGAACUUCGGUUCUAGCGGCGGACGGGUGAGUAAUGCGUAGGAAGCUACCCGACAGAGGGGGAUACCAGUUGGAAACGACUGUUAAUACCGCAUAAUGUCUACGGACCAAAGUGUGGGACCUUCGGGCCACAUGCUGUCGGAUGCGCCUACGUGGGAUUAGCUAGUUGGUGAGGUAAUGGCUCACCAAGGCGACGAUCCCUAGCUGGUUUGAGGGGAUGAUCAACCACACUGGGACUGAGACACGGUCCAGACUCCUACGGGAGGCAGCAGUGGGUAAUAUAGGACAGUGGGCGCAAGCCUGAUCCAGCCAAGCCGCGUGUGUGAAGAAGGCCUUCGGGUUGUAAAGCACUUUCAGCGAGGAGGAAGGAGUUGUAGUUAAUGGCUGCAACUUUUGACGUUACUCGCAGAAGAAGCACCGGCUAACUCUGUGCCAGCAGCCGCCGUAACAC
rnacentral:rRNA from 1 species